AAAUAAAACCAGAAGUCCAAGGCAGACUCUCUGGGAAGUCAGGCACCUGGUGCUCUCUGGCCAACAGAAGUCUGCAGCGUAUUCAUUCUCUGGAGACGGCAAACCAAGGACUUUGACUGGAGUGCCAGGCCCAGCUGAGAAAAAUCGAGUCCAUGUUUACUGAAUACUGAAGCAGGGGUCCCCAACCCUUUCCCCCAACUCAGCUCUCACAACAAGGGUGGCUUGACUCAUCUUUCAGGCAGACUGGAAGAUGCCUCUUUGAAGAAAGUGAAACAUUUCAUGAAGCACCUAAAAAGAUGAUCCUGGGAGAGGGUCCCCAAUAGCUAGUGUACCCAGACUGAACUGACCGGACCCAGCUAUGAGCUCAGACUUCCAAUCGGCCUUUUCUCCCUACUCUUACUCUGGAGCAGAAAGCCAAGAAUGACCAGAUAUCUGAUAAGUCCUCUGAUAGGGAUGAUAAAGACCCAAACAAAAGGAAAAGGGCAGCUUAAAGGAAACAGAAACUUUGCAAAGAUAAGAAAACUCCGAAAAAUAUAUCAACAAAUACUCUGAGGGCUACAAGAAAGUAUUGCAUCCUUGAAGCAAACCAAAAAAAAGAAAAAAAAAAAGGAUGUCAUUAAAACAAUAAAAUGAAAUGUAACAAUCAAAAAACUAAGAAAAAGGUCUUGAUUAUUAAAAACAGUUUAGCAAAAUAAGAAAAUUGAUUGAAGGCAUACAAGACUGAGUUAAGGGAAUCCUCAGAAAGUGAAGAUAAAAAUAGGUAAUAAAAAAAAUCCCAAAUAGUAAAAGUACCAGAGAGAACAGAAAGUGUAGAAAAAUAUCACCACUGAAAUAAUUCAAGAUGAUUUCUCAAAACUGAAAGAUACAUUACCAGACAGAAACGGCCCACCCAGUGCCCAGCAUAAUAUAAAGAGAACCUCAUGUUCGUGUAUCGUUUUGAAAUUUCAGAAAACCGGGGACAAAAAGAACUUCCUACUAGUUUAUAGUUACAUGUAAAAGAUUAUGAAUCAGAAUGGACUGCUUACCAGCAAUACUAGAAGCCAGGAGACAAGCAAUCCAAAGUUUAAAAGAAAAUAGUUUGCAACCUAGAAUUUGACAUCCAGCCAAACUAUGGGCCGAGUGUGAGCACAGAAAAAAGAAUUUUCAGACCAAAAAGUCUCAAACCACUUCUCUCCCAUGAGCUCUUUCUCAAGAAGUUACUGGAAGAUAACCUCCAUCAAGAUGAGACAGCAAGGGCACCUGGGUGGCCUAGUCAGUUAAGCAUCAGUCCCGGGAGUUCGAGUCCCGCAUCAGACUCUGUGCUGAUAGCUCGGAGCCUGGAGCCUGCUUCGGAUUCUGUGUCUCCCCCUCUCUCUGCCCCUCUCCCACUCGCACUCUGUCUUUCUCUCUCUGUCUCAAAAACAAAGUAAACAUUUAAGAAUUUUUUUUUUUAAAGAUGAGAGAGCAAAUCAGAAUGACAUUUCUGAUGGAGAUCCAACAGAGAGGGGAGAUAAAGGAGGGUGAACAGAGAUCCUGGGUGAACAACUCUGCACAUGCAUAUGGGAUGACCUCCCAGACUGGAACAAUGGGACCAAGGACAUGCUGAGGGCCCUCAUCACCAAGCUCUCUGGAGCCCACCACACCUAGUUUUUAACCUGACAUCAGAACACUGGCCUGAGCCUAUCUCAGAAUCUCAUGUACUUGGUUCAUCUUGACCAUGAACUUGACCAUGAAAUUGCUGCCCUCACCUCUUCAGCCUACUCGUCACCCCAUAGAACUGUUCUAUUCGACCGACUGCCAAGGGCUAAGGAUGGUAAUGAGGACCUCAGACGUAAAAACAGACAGCAGUUCUGUCCGCCAACACACCCCUCCAGAUGGGAUACAGAGCUGUUAUUAACAGAGCCUGUGGCAUCCUUCCAGCACACAGACAUUCCCAGACAAAACCAUCCGGGCUGACCUGCUGCAGGUGAUGCUCAGACAUCCAGGGAGAAAUGGAAUGGCAGUUGGUGACAUGGGAGCUCCAUCCAAGAAAGCUGAGGAAGCAGACGACAGCAGCAGUGGUGCUGGCAGGAUCCCUCUGAAGAAGACAGCACAGAGAAAAGCAGCGCUGACAACUGACCCGUGGUCCCCUGCCUGUGUCCAGGACAGGAAGACGCAGAAAAGAGUCAAGGCAGCAUUGUGUUGAAGAAGAAAUGGGAAGAGACUGAUUCCAGUCAGCACAGGUGGUUGCCGUAGUCUGAAGGUUUGUGUACCCUCCCCUCCAAAUUCAUAUGUUGAAGCCUAAUCCUCAGUGCUAUGGUAUGUGGAGGUGGGCCUUUGGGAUGUGAUUAGGUCAUGAGGGUGGAGUCUUCUUGAAUGGGAUCAGUGCCCUUAUAAAGGAGGCCUCAGAAAGUUUCCUUGCCCUCUGGUCACAUGAGGACACAGUGAGAGGACAGCCUUCUACAAACUAGGAAGCAGGCCCUUGCAAGACAUUACAUCUGCCAGUGCCUUGAUUUUGGAUUUCCAGCCUCCAGAACUGUGAAAAAUAAAUGUCCAUUGUUUAUAAGCCA